UGUUCUGUGGCAUAGUCGGCUAAAGCGCCGAACUAGCGAUACGUAGUGGUGGGUUCGAACCCCACCAAAAAGA
rnacentral:tRNA from 1 species